rnacentral:rRNA from 1 species
UGAUUCCUACGGGGGGCAGCAGUGGGGAAUAUUGGGCAAUGGGCGCAAGCCUGGCCCAGCAACGCCGCGUGAAGGAAGAAGGCUUUCGGGUUGUAAACUUCUUUUGUCAGGGACGAAGCAAGUGACGGUACCUGGCGAAUAAGCCACGGCUAACUACGUGCCAGCAGCCGCGGUAAUACGUAGGGGGCAAGCGUUAUCCGGAUUUAUUGGGUUUAAAGGGUGCGCAGGCGGCACGGCAAGCCGGCGGUCAAAUCGCGGGGCUCAACCCCGCCCAGCCGU